rnacentral:rRNA from 1 species
AUUGAACGCUGGCGGCAGGCUUAACACAUGCAAGUCGAGCGGGGAAAGGUAGCUUGCUACCUGACCUAGCGGCGGACGGGUGAGUAAUGCUUAGGAAUCUGCCUAUUAGUGGGGGACAACAUCUCGAAAGGGAUGCUAAUACCGCAUACGUCCUACGGGAGAAAGCAGGGGACCUUCGGGCCUUGCGCUAAUAGAUGAGCCUAAGUCGGAUUAGCUAGUUGGUGGGGUAAAGGCCUACCAAGGCGACGAUCUGUAGCGGGUCUGAGAGGAUGAUCCGCCACACUGGGACUGAGACACGGCCCAGACCCCUACGGGAGGCAGCAGUGGGGAAUAUUGGACAAUGGGGGGAACCCUGAUCCAGCCAUGCCGCGUGUGUGAAGAAGGCCUUUUGGUUGUAAAGCACUUUAAGCGAGGAGGAGGCUACCGAGAUUAAUACUCUUGGAUAGUGGACGUUACUCGCAGAAUAAGCACCGGCUAACUCUGUG